GGAGAUUUUGUUACUUUGAGUUAAUUAGAGUGUUCAAAGCAAACAGGUAAAGCCAUUUUACUGCGUUUGAAUACUACAGCAUGGAAUAACAAAAUUGAACAAGUCAGAAUUCUGUUCUUUUUUCUUAUUUUGGCUUAGUUACGAUUAAUAGGAGUAGCUUGGAGGCAUUUGUAUUCAGAUGUCAGAGGUGAAAUUCUUAGAUUUUCUGGAGACAAACAACUGCGAAAGCAUUUGCCUAAAAUAUUUCCAUUAAUCAAGAACGAAAGUUAAGGGAGUGAAGACGAUCAGAUACCGUCGUAAUCUUAACCAUAAACUAUGCCGACUAGGUUUUGGAUGAAAAAUUUUUAAAUAAGAAAAUUCCUUUCGGGGAAAUUUCUUAGAUUGCUUCCUUCAGUACCUUAUGAGAAAUCAAAGUCUUUGGGUUCUGGGGCGAGUAUUCGCGCAAGCGAGAAAGUUAAAAGAAUUGACGGAAGGGCACCACCAGGCGUGGAGCUUGCGGCUUAAUUUGACUCAACACGGGGAAACUCACUAGUUUAAGACAAGAGUAGGAUUGACAGAUUAAUAGCUCUUUCUUGAUUUCUUGGAUGGUGAUGCAUGGCCGUUUUUAGUUCGUGAAUAUGAUUUGUCUGGUUAAUUCCGAUAACGAACGAGAUCUUAACCUGCUAAUUAGCGGCGAAUACGUUAUAUUCUUAUGUGAAAUUGAAUAUAGCUGAAUUUGCUUAUUUUGA
rnacentral:rRNA from 1 species